UACAGAGGGUGCAAACGUUGUUCGGAAUUACUGGGCGUAAAGCGCGUGUAGGCGGUUCGUAAAGUCAGAUGUGAAAGCCCUGGGCUUAACCCAGGAAGUGCAUUUGAAACUCACGAACUUGAGUCCCGGAGAGGAAGGCGGAAUUCUCGGUGUAGAGGUGAAAUUCGUAGAUAUCGAGAGGAACAUCGGUGACGAAGGCGGCCUUCUGGACGGUGACUGACGCUGAGAUGCGAAAGCGUGGGGAGCAAACAGG
rnacentral:rRNA from 1 species